CCGACCAUAGCUCAGUUGGAAGAGCACAAGACUGUAAUGGGUUGCCUCGGAUCGUGAUCUUGGGGUCGCCUGUUCGAACCAGGCUGGUCGGA